GCUUAACUCUUUAAAGGUAGGUUCGUGACCCUUGAGAAAAGAGUUGGUGGUAAAUGUGCCACGUCUUCUAAGAAGGGGGAGUCCUGAACUUGUCUGAAGCCCUUGUCCGUAAGCCUUGAACUACGUUCUUAAAUCUAUGAAGUCGAGGGACCUUUCGCUGCUUUUGUAGGGACUUCUUUCCUUGCUUCAGCAACAUGAGGCUUUUCUUGUGGAACGCGGUCUUGACUCUGUUCGUCACUUCUUUGAUUGGGGCUUUGAUCCCUGAACCAGAAGUGAAAAUUGAAGUUCUCCAGAAGCCAUUCAUCUGCCAUCGCAAGACCAAAGGAGGGGAUUUGAUGUUGGUCCACUAUGAAGGCUACUUAGAAAAGGACGGCUCCUUAUUUCACUCCACUCACAAACAUAACAAUGGUCAGCCCAUUUGGUUUACCCUGGGCAUCCUGGAGGCUCUCAAAGGUUGGGACCAGGGCUUGAAAGGAAUGUGUGUAGGAGAGAAGAGAAAGCUCAUCAUUCCUCCUGCUCUGGGCUAUGGAAAAGAAGGAAAAGUCUUUUAGUACAUGCUUGCAUGCCUCUUUUGGAAAGAUACCAGUUUUAUCAACAACCUAGCGCAUGUCACAUCUCUGUCUAGAUCUGAAAUGGUAAAAUUCCCCCAGAAAGUACACUGAUAUUUAAUAUUGAUCUCCUGGAGAUUCGAAAUGGACCAAGAUCCCAUGAAUCAUUCCAAGAAAUGGAUCUUAAUGAUGACUGGAAACUCUCUAAAGAUGAGGUUAAAGCAUAUUUAAAGAAGGAGUUUGAAAAACAUGGUGCGGUGGUGAAUGAAAGUCAUCAUGAUGCUUUGGUGGAGGAUAUUUUUGAUAAAGAAGAUGAAGACAAAGAUGGGUUUAUAUCUGCCAGAGAAUUUACAUAUAAACACGAUGAGUUAUAGAGAUACAUCUACCCUUUUAAUAUAGCACUCAUCUUUCAAGAGAGGGCAGUCAUCUUUAAAGAACAUUUUAUUUUUAUACAAUGUUCUUUCUUGCUUUGUUUUUUAUUUUUAUAUAUUUUUUCUGACUCCUAUUUAAAGAACCCCUUAGGUUUCUAAGUACCCAUUUCUUUCUGAUAAGUUAUUGGGAAGAAAAAGCUAAUUGGUCUUUGAAUAGAAGACUUCUGGACAAUUUUUCACUUUCACAGAUAUGAAGCUUUGUUUUACUUUCUCACUUAUAAAUUUAAAAUGUUGCAACUGGGAAUAUACCACGACAUGAGACCAGGUUAUAGCACAAAUUAGCACCCUAUAUUUCUGCUUCCCUCUAUUUUCUCCAAGUUAGAGGUCAACAUUUGAAAAGCCUUUUGCAAUAGCCCAAGGCUUGCUAUUUUCAUGUUAUAAUGAAAUAGUUUAUGUGUAACUGGCUCUGAGUCUCUGCUUGAGGACCAGAGGAAAAUGGUUGUUGGACCUGACUUGUUAAUGGCUACUGCUUUACUAAGGAGAUGUGCAAUGCUGAAGUUAGAAACAAGGUUAAUAGCCAGGCAUGGUGGCUCAUGCCUGUAAUCCCAGCACUUUGGGAGGCUGAGGCGGGCGGAUCACCUGAGGUUGGGAGUUCGAGACCAGCCUGACCAACACGGAGAAACCCUAUCUCUACUAAAAAUACAAAAGUAGCCGGGCGUGGUGAUGCGUGCCUGUAAUCCCAGCUACCCAGGAAGGCUGAGGCGGCAGAAUCACUUGAACCCGGAGGCGGAGGUUGCGGUAAGCCGAGAUCACCUCCAGCCUGGACACUCUGUCUCGAAAAAAAGAAAAGAAACACGGUUAAUAACAUAUAAAUAUGUAUGCAUUGAGACAUGCUACCUAGGACUUAAGCUGAUGAAGCUUGGCUCCUAGUGAUUGGUGGCCUAUUAUGAUAAAUAGGACAAAUCAUUUAUGUGUGAGUUUCUUUGUAAUAAAAUGUAUCAAUAUGUUAUAGAUGAGGUAGAAAGUUAUAUUUAUAUUCAAUAUUUACUUCUUAAGGCUAGCGGAAUAUCCUUCCUGGUUCUUUAAUGGGUAGUCUAUAGUAUAUUAUACUACAAUAACAUUGUAUCAUAAGAUAAAGUAGUAAACCAGUCUACAUUUUCCCAUUUCUGUCUCAUCAAAAACUGAAGUUAGCUGGGUGUGGUGGCUCAUGCCUGUAAUCCCAGCACUUUGGGGGCCAAGGAGGGUGGAUCACUUGAGAUCAGGAGUUCAAGACCAGCCUGGCCAACAUGGUGAAACCUUGUCUCUACUAAAAAUACAAAAAUUAGCCAGGCGUGGUGGUGCACACCUGUAGUCCCAGCUACUCGGGAGGCUGAGACAGGAGAUUUGCUUGAACCCGGGAGGCGGAGGUUGCAGUGAGCCAAGAUUGUGCCACUGCACUCCAGCCUGGGUGACAGAGCAAGACUCCAUCUCAAAAAAAAAAAAAGAAGCAGACCUACAGCAGCUACUAUUGAAUAAAUACCUAUCCUGGAUUUUAAAAAAGAAAAAAAUAUAUAUAAUUUUAUUUUAAAUUGGCUUUUAUCUUUAAUUCUUUUUUUUAAAGUUAUCAAAUCUUCAUUUUCUAAGAGUAGCCCUUUAUAGUGUACAAAAUGAUAUUAAGUGCAUUAUUAUCUUCGCUUUUCAUGGCUCUGAGUCAUAAAACAAGCUGGUGGAUCUCACUGUACCUAAUUUAUAGACGAGGAAAUUGUCAUUCAAAAAGAUUGACUGUUAUGCCCAGGGUCAGCACUAACCUGCAGAACCAGUAUUCAGUCCCCAAGUUCAGUGUCUUCUACUGCCCUCUACUAAUGAAAAGUGAAAAUUUCCCUGGGGUCUAAUUCUCUCUUCAGUUUGCUGUGCCGUUGUUUAUCUUUGAGUCUUCAUUCUCUGAAGAUGGCUUUCUGCCUGUUUCUGGUACAUUAGAAUUCUCACUAUGAUAUAGAAAUGGCUUCAGUUUCAUAGCAUAAUCUUGCAGUUAGCUCUGAAUUGCCUCAAAAACCCUGAACAACGCGAGGUUCCAGAUGUGUUUUACUUCUUUCAUUCAUAUUUACCCCCAUUUGUUGUUUAAAAAGAAUUAUGAACAAUUAUUACAUCAUAUGUAGACCACUUUCACUGAUUAUAUGUUGACAUUUUCCUCAGUAAAACAUAAAGUUCUUAACAAGACUAUACUGUAACACCUUUCUCCAACAAAAUCAGCUGUAUGUUGAAAACUAUUAAGUCAUUGCUAAUGUUUUAAGCCAUAAUACAGACAGCCUUAUACUCUAUGAUGGGAGAAGGGAAAGUAGUUUGUCCGAUGGUGCUACUCUGUAUAAACAUUACUGAUGCUAUCUAUAGUAGGGCAAGAAAAGUAAAAAGAGUUUUGAUUAUUCAGGCAGCAUUUUUAAAAACCUGUGAAUUUGUAUCAGUUCUCAUCUAAACAUUUGGACACAAGUAUAAAAUGAAAACAUAUGCACAAGUUAUGGUUUUUAAGUUAUCUGCUCUUUUUUUUGGUUUCACUGUACCUUUGUACUCUUCUAUUAGUGGGAAUAAUCAGACAUGAACUGUGACUUCACAUGUACAGUCAUACCUCACUUAAUGAUGGAGAUGCACUCUGAGAAAUGUCUAAUUAGGUUAUUUCAUCGUUGUGGGAACAUCAUAGAGUGUACUUACACAAACCUAGAUAGUGUAGCCUGCUACACAUGUAGGACAUGUAUAUAGCCUAUUGCUCCUAGGCUACAGCAUGUUGCUGUUCUGAAUCAUGUAGGCAAUUGUAACACAAUGGCAAGUGUCUGUUUAUUCAAACAUCUAAACACAGAAAAGAUACUACAACAAUAACAAUAUGGUAUAAAAGAUUUUGUAAAAAAUCUGGUCAGGUGCAGUGGUUCACGCCUGUAAUCCUAGCACUUUGGGAGGCUGCCUCAGCAGGUGGAUUGCUUGAGCCCAGAAGCUCAAGACCAGCCUGGGCAACAUGGCGAAACCCCGUCUCUGCUAAAAGUACAAAAGCUGAGGUUGGAGGAUCACCUGAGCCUGGCAAGGUCAAGGCUGCAGUGAGCCAUGAUCAUACCACUGCACUCCAGCCUGGGUGACAGAGUGACUCCCCAUCUAAAAAAAAAAAUAUAUAUAUAUAUAUAUACUAUAUAUAUAUAUAUACCAUAUAUAUGGUAUAUAUAUAUAUAGUAUAUAUAUAUAUGGUGUGUGUAUAUAUAUAUAUAUGGUAUACCUGUAUAGGGCACUUACUAACGGAGCUUACAGAACUGGAAGUUGCUCUGGAUGAGUCAGUGGUGAGUGAAUGUAAAGGCCUAGGACAUUACUGUACACUACUGUAGACUUUAUAAACACCGUACACUUAGGUGACACUAAAAUUUAUAAAAAAUGUUUUUCUUCUGGUUGGGCAUGGUGCCUUAUGCCUAUAAUCCCAGCAUUAUGGGAGGCCAAGGUGGGUGGAUCACUCGAGGUCAUGAGUUUGGGACCAGCCGGGCCAACAUGGCUAAACCCCAUCUCUACUAAAAAUACGAUAAUUAGCCAGGUGUGGUGGCACAUGCGUGUAGUCCCAGCUAAUUGAGAGGCUGAGGCAGGAGAAUUGCUUGAAUCCAGGAGGUGGAGGUUGCAGUGAGCCAAGAUCGAACCACUGCACUCUAGUCUGGGUGACAGAGGAGCAAGACUCUGUCUCAAAAAAAAAAAUUCUAUAAUUUUUAUAGAAAUAAUAAAAAACUAACCUUAGCUUACUGUAAAUUUUCUAGUUUAGAAACUUAUUUAAAAACAAUUUUUGGACUCUUCUAGUAAUAACGUAGCUUAAAACACACAUUGCAUAGCUGUACAAAAAUAUUUUCCUUAUAUCCUUAUUAUAUAAGCUUUUAUCUAUUUAAAUUUUGAAUUUUUAAACUUUUUGGUCAAAAACCAAGACAAACACACUAGCCUAGGCCUAUGCAGGGUCAGGAUCAAGACAUCCCUAGCAGGUGACAGGAAUUUUUCAACUCCAUUAUAAUCUGUGGGGCCACCAUCAUAUAUAUAUUGUACAUUGACCGAAACAUGGUUACAUGACUAUAUAAUUUGCGUCAAUACUGCUCAGUGUGCCAUAUUUAAAUUUACAUGACUAUAUUGUGAUAUUCUUUUCAAAAUAAAGUUUAUUUGGGAGAUAA